rnacentral:lncRNA from 1 species
CUUUAAAUAUAUCGCCAGCUCGGCCAACUUUUGGAGCUCUAGUUCAUUGAUUUCAAUGGAGCAUCGAUGUGGAUAUGUCUGUUCGGGUGCCGUCGUGGUCACUAGUUGCUCUUUGAUUUGUUGGGAGUUUAGACGGAGUUCGAUUGUAUGAUGUGAGGGAGAAAAUGUAAGAUGGAAGGGACUGUUUGGUUGUUGUUUGGGUGGUGGUAUGACUGAGCAUUGGCAUUUGUUUUGUUGGAAAAGAGGGGGU